rnacentral:rRNA from 1 species
ACCAUUCCUUCGGGAAUGGGGACAGCGGCGAACGGGUGAGUAACACGUGGGUAAUCUGCCCUCGAUUCUGGGAUAGCCCGGGGAAACCCGGAUUAAUACCGGAUAGCCUCUCGAGCUUACGAGCUCGUGAGAAAAGGUAGCUUCGGCCUCCGAUCGAGGAUGAGCCCGCGGCGGAUUAGCUUGUUGGUGGGGUAAUGGCCUACCAAGGCGACGAUCCGUAGCUGGUCUGAGAGGACGAUCAGCCACACUGGGACUGAGACACGGCCCAGACUCCUACGGGAGGCAGCAGUGGGGAAUCUUGCGCAAUGGGCGAAAGCCCGACGCAGCGACGCCGCGUGGGGGAAGAAGGCCUUCGGG